rnacentral:rRNA from 1 species
UACGUAGGGGGCUAGCGUUGUCCGGAAUCAUUGGGCGUAAAGCGCGUGUAGGCGGUUCGGUAAGUCCGCUGUGAAAGUCGGGGGCUCAACCCUCGGAUGCCGGUGGAUACUGUCGGGCUUGAGUACGGAAGAGGCGAGUGGAAUUCCUGGUGUAGCGGUGAAAUGCGCAGAUAUCGGGAGGAACACCAGUGGCGAAGGCGGCACUCUGGGCCGGAACUGACGCUGAGGAGCGAAAGCGUGGGGAGCGAACAGG